UCGGGGUGGGGCCAGACGUGAGGAGCCCUGCGCGGCACUGGAUAAAGGUGAGUAAAUCACGUUUAUAACCCGAGGUAAUGGCAACUGACCGGCUAAACUAUGGUUUUAGAACUAUAGUAUCAGGAAUACGUUUGUGUUCCUAACACUAUAGUGCCCCUUUAAGUUUUUAGUAGAACCCAAAUUAGAUAGAAGAAGAGGAGCCGUACAAUCUAGUCUGGGAUUCUGGAGGAAACUGGGCACACCACGCUCAGUAGUAUGAUGACAUUACUGGAGGCAUAGAUGUUGAACUGGGUUGUUUUGCUUCAUAACCAAGCCAGAUGUAUGAAAAGCAUGAGAGACAACUGCAGAUGUUGGCAAAAUGAGCAGAUUUCAGAGACAGUUGGAGAUGCUGAUGGCUAUACAGGUGCUGGAUACAUGUGCAGUUGUUGGUGAUGAACAGAAAUGUUGGAGAAAAGUCCAGAUGUUAAAAAGUUUCCUCCU